AAUACCCAGAUGUGUGCACUGGUGUGUGGACUUGGUGGAUAGAGCUGACCCGCCCACAGAAGCAGUAAAUCAAGCUGGUGUUGUGUGCGAAGAGAAAGUACCACUUGAUCAAGCUGUCUAUAAAUACAGUGUGUCAUGACUCCAAGUAGAGAAGGAGAAGCCCAUGGAAGCCAAUCUGCAAUUUGGUGAACUCUCUUAGAAACGCAGUUCUUUCAGGCAGCCGAAGGAUUAUCUAAUUACCCAAACAACAGAGACUUCUCUCUGGUCCCUGAAGGAAACUCAUUGGGUUAAAGGUGGUCGGUCAUUGGCCUCUCUGGUCUUUUGGGAACAAAAUUGUUUGGGAAAUAAAGUUGAGUUGAUGUCAUUUUACC
rnacentral:lncRNA from 1 species